rnacentral:lncRNA from 1 species
AUGUUCGGCAAUGGAGGUCCAGUACCUACAGAGGUCCAGUAUCUACAGAGGACCAGAGGUCCAGUACCUACAGAGGACCAGUACCUACAGAGGUCCAGAAGUCCAGUACCUACAGAGGACCAGUACCUACAGAGGAGCGGGUCCUGUGGUGGAGGAGCGGGUCCUGUGGAGGAGGAGCGGGUCCUGUGGUGGAGGAGCGGGUCCUGUGGAGGAGGAGCGGGUCCUGUGGUGAGGAGCGGGUCCUGUGGUGGAGGAGCGGGUCCUGUGGUGGAGGAGCGGGUCCUGUGGAGGAGGAGCGGGUCCUGUGGAGGAGGAGCGUUGGAGAAGCAGGUGCGGUGCACUGAUAAAGAGCUCUGGGUCUGUUUGUCAGACUGUCUUUGUUUCUCUCUGUAUCGUCGAGGUCCCCUCCUCUCUCUGUAUCGUCGAGGUCCCCUCCUCUCUCUGUAUCGUCGAGGUCCCCUCCUGUCUCUGUAUCGUCGAGGUCCCCUCCUGUCUCUGUAUCGUCGAGGUCCCCUCCUGUCUCUGUAUCGUCGAGGUCCCCUCCUGUCUCUGUAUCGUCGAGGUCCCCUCCUCUCUCUGUAUCGUCGAGGUCCCCUCCUCUCUCUGUAUCGUCGAGGUCCCCUCCUCUCUCUGUAUCGUCGAGGUCCCCUCCUGUCUCUGUAUCGUCGAGGUCCCCUCCUGUCUCUGUAUCGUCGAGGUCCCCUCCUGUCUCUGUAUCGUCGAGGUCCCCUCCUGUCUCUGUAUCGUCGAGGUCCCCUCCUGUCUCUGUAUCGUCGAGGUCCCCUCCUCUCUCUGUAUCGUCGAGGUCCCCUCCUCUCUCUGUAUCGUCGAGGUCCCCUCCUCUCUCUGUAUCGUCGAGGUCCCCUCCUCUCUCUGUAUCGUCGAGGUCCCCUCCUCUCUCUGUAUCGUCGAGGUCCCAUCCUCUGGAGCGACACUGCCUUUCCAAUCCAAACGGCCUCAACUCCCAGCCUUCCAUCCCAAGUCAAACAGAGACAUUCAGUCUCUCCACCAUCUCUAUUUUAA